rnacentral:rRNA from 1 species
GCUGGUUCUCUCCGAAAUAGCUUUAGGGCUAGCCUCAAGUGAUGAUUAUUGGAGGUAGAGCACUGUUUGGACGAGGGGCCCCUCUCGGGUUACCGAAUUCAGACAAACUCCGAAUGCCAAUUAAUUUAACUUGGGAGUCAGAACAUGGGUGAUAAGGUCCGUGUUCGAAAGGGAAACAGCCCAGACCACCAGCUAAGGUCCCAAAAUAUAUGUUAAGUGGAAAAGGAUGUGGCGUUGCCCAGACAACUAGGAUGUUGGCUUAGAAGCAGCCAUCAUUUAAAGAGUGCGUAAUAGCUCACUAGUCGAGUGACACUGCGCCGAAAAUGUACCGGGGCUAAACAUAUUACCGAAGCUGUGGAUUGUCCUUUGGACAAUGGUAGGAGAGCGUUCUAAGGGCGUUGAAGCAUGAUCGUAAGGACAUGUGGAGCGCUUAGAAGUGAGAAUGCCGGUGUGAGUAGCGAAAGACGGGUGAGAAUCCCGUCCACCGAUUGACUAAGGUUUCCAGAGGAAGGCUCGUCCGCUCUGGGUUAGUCGGGUCCUAAGCUGAGGCCGACAGGCGUAGGCGAUGGAUAACAGGUUGAUAUUCCUGUACCACCUAUAAUCGUUUUAAUCGAUGGGGGGACGCAGUAGGAUAGGCGAAGCGUGCGAUUGGAUUGCACGUCUAAGCAGUAAGGCUGAGUAUUAGGCAAAUCCGGUACUCGUUAAGGCUGAGCUGUGAUGGGGAGAAGACAUUGAGUCUUCGAGUCGUUGAUUUCACACUGCCGAGAAAAGCCUCUAGAUAGAAAAUAGGUGCCCGUACCGCAAACCGACACAGGUAGUCAAGAUGAGAAUUCUAAGGUGAGCGAGCGAACUCUCGUUAAGGAACUCGGCAAAAUGACCCCGUAACUCGGGAGAAGGGGUGCUCUUUAGGGUUAACGCCCAGAAGAGCCGCAGUGAAUAGGCCCAAGCGACUGUUUAUCAAAAACACAGGUCUCUGCUAAACCGUAAGGUGAUGUAUAGGGGCUGACGCCUGCCCGGUGCUGGAAGGUUAAGAGGAGUGGUUAGCUUCUGCGAAGCUACGAAUCGAAGCCCCAGUAAACGGCGGCCGUAACUAUAACGGUCCUAAGGUAGCGAAAUUCCUUGUCGGGUAAGUUCCGACCCGCACGAAAGGCGUAACGAUUUGGGCACUGUCUCAACGAGAGACUCGGUGAAAUCAUAGUACCUGUGAAGAUGCAGGUUACCCGCGACAGGACGGAAAGACCCCGUGGAGCUUUACUGUAGCCUGAUAUUGAAAUUCGGCACAGCUUGUACAGGAUAGGUAGGAGCCUUUGAAACGUGAGCGCUAGCUUACGUGGAGGCGCUGGUGGGAUACUACCCUAGCUGUGUUGGCUUUCUAACCCGCACCACUUAUCGUGGUGGGAGACAGUGUCAGGCGGGCAGUUUGACUGGGGCGGUCGCCUCCUAAAAGGUAACGGAGGCGCUCAAAGGUUCCCUCAGAAUGGUUGGAAAUCAUUCAUAGAGUGUAAAGGCAUAAGGGAGCUUGACUGCGAGACCUACAAGUCGAGCAGGGUCGAAAGACGGACUUAGUGAUCCGGUGGUUCCGCAUGGAAGGGCCAUCGCUCAACGGAUAAAAGCUACCCCGGGGAUAACAGGCUUAUCUCCCCCAAGAGUUCACAUCGACGGGGAGGUUUGGCACCUCGAUGUCGGCUCAUCGCAUCCUGGGGCUGUAGUCGGUCCCAAGGGUUGGGCUGUUCGCCCAUUAAAGCGGUACGCGAGCUGGGUUCAGAACGUCGUGAGACAGUUCGGUCCCUAUCCGUCGUGGGCGUAGGAAAUUUGAGAGGAGCUGUCCUUAGUACGAGAGGACCGGGAUGGACAUACCUCUGGUGUACCAGUUGUCGUGCCAACGGCAUAGCUGGGUAGCUAUGUGUGGACGGGAUAAGUGCUGAAAGCAUCUAAGCAUGAAGCCCCCCUCAAGAUGAGAUUUCCCAACUUCGGUUAUAAGAUCCCUCAAAGAUGAUGAGGUUAAUAGGUUCGAGGUGGAAGCAUGGUGACAUGUGGAGCUGACGAAUACUAAUCGAUCGAAGACUUAAUCAAAA